rnacentral:rRNA from 1 species
CCUACGGGAGGCAGCAGUGGGGAAUAUUGCACAAUGGGGGAAACCCUGAUGCAGCGACGCCGCGUGAGUGAAGCAGUAAUUCGUUAUGUAAAGCUCUAUCAGCAGGGAAGAAAAUGACGGUACCUGAGUAAGAAGCACCGGCUAACUACGUGCCAGCAGCCGCGGUAAUACGUAGGGGGCAAGCGUUAUCCGGAUUUACUGGGUGUAAAGGGAGCGGAGACGGCAGUGCAAGUCUGGAGUGAAAGGCGGGGGCUCAACCCCCGGACUGCUCUGGAAACUGUACGGCUGGAGUGCAGGAGAGGUAAGUGGAAUUCCUAGUGUAGCGGUGAAAUGCGUAGAUAUUAGGAGGAACACCAGUGGCGAAGGCGGCUCACUGGACUGUAACUGACGUUGAGGCUCGAAAGCGUGGGUAGCAAACAGGAUUAGAUACCCCAGUAGUC